UCUUAUAAUUAUUAUUUUCACAAAACACUAAUUAUUCCCUAAUUAAGUUACAAGAUUUGAUAUCAUUUAUAAUAAUCAUAUUAAUAAUAAAUAUAGAAAAUGUGCCUACUUGAUAAAGGUGUGACCCUAUAGGAUCAUAUAUUAUUAGCAAUAUCACUCCAUAAUGAUUCUUACACAGAUUGAUUCAACAACAACGUGAUGAAUUUUGGUCGUUGACUUAACCAUUUACUAUUUACUAGUUUGAGCUAUGACAACCUGAAAUUUCCAUUAUGUACGAACAAUAUCUAUUCAAUAGAAGCCAGUCCAGUUUCAGUGAUUUUCAGACUUUUCCGAACAAGUUUGUGUACAUUAGGGUUUACGUUUCAGGAGUUAUCAGGAGAGUAGAUGCUCCUGGAUUUGUGAAACUUGAACAUUCCAAGUUUCAUAAUGUUAUGGUCCAACUUCCGGAAUAAAAAUAUUUUCUGUCAAAAUAUUUCAGGACUAUAAAUAGAUUUCUGAACUAAAUUCAUUCAUUAUUCACAUUUCCAACUAGAGAAAAUCCAUUUUCUCUCUCACGGAUCUUUGGGUUUUCAUCCCAGAUUGUGAGUCUACUUCCCUAAAUGUGUUUUAAUGCUUGUUAUAUGCUUUAUAACAUUGUUUACAUGUUUAAAAUACAAGAUCCGGGAGCUUACGGCCCAAGAACGUUCUUGGGGUGUAAACUCCAAAACGAAGCCUAAAGGCUUCCUAGUCCCGAUUCCUUGUUAUACAACUAGUUUAGAACUUAUUGUAGGAUCUUUUGAGGCUAGAAAUCAUCCAAGAUCAUAAGGAUUUUGGAGUUUACGGCCCAAGAGUUCUUGGACCGUAAACACAAUUUCCAAGGGCCAAAGUGUGCCCUAAAUGACCCCUAAGGCUUAAGGCAUUUAUCCCUCUAAUGCUUGUAGCUAAUUUGGACACCAAAACACUUCAAAAUCAUAAAAUUCUAGGAGUUUACGGCCAAGAAAAGCUCUUGGGCCGUAAACCCCUUUUUCAAGGGUUAAAAGUGCCCUAAACACCCUUAAAGCCUUAAGACAAUUAAACUUGGAUACUUGUAACUUGAAUGAGGAGAAAAUGACAUCAAAACCAUCCCUUAAAAGAAGUUUACGGCCAAGGAACUGUUGGGUUUUGAGCAAUCUAAUACUUCCUAAGUGUGCAUGCAACCCUAAUAAACCUUNGUAGUAUGUUAGAUUAUACUUGUUGUCUUCGUGAUACUUGUAUGUGCCUGGUAGGGAGGUGAGUGUGGGCGAGGUCCCGUAUCUCACCACUAUCUGGGUAGGGAGGGGGUUCCAUAUCUAGAUAUUAGUAGAGUAGGGGCGAGGCCCGUGAUAGGAAGGAUGUGAGUGUGGGCGGGGGACCGUAUCUCACUACUAGUAUGAGUAUGGACGGGGUUCCACUACUUCAGUAGUAGAUCAGGGGCGGGGUCCAAGUCAGGCGAGGCCUUAGUUCAGCGUACAGUUAGACUAUGUUUUGUAUGCUCUAGUAUGUUAUUUGAUUGUAUGUAUGUGUAUGGCGUGCGAGGCCCAGAGACAGGCGAGGCCUAUGAGAAACAAAACUGUUUACCGAGCGGGGCUUGAAGAUAGGCGNAGGUUGUAGUACUUUUAAACUCCAUUUCAUGACUUGUUUGAGAGUUUACGGCCAGGAGCUUACUCCCCUGGGCCGUAAACUCUAAUGAAUAUGGUCUUUUGACCUUAAACUUUCAUUAGGGGCAUUGCACUUCUUUGUUGCAACCCAUUAGCCUCCUAGCACUUGACCAAAAGUGUUGUCCUCGCGCUUAAAUGUUAUUACUUGUAUAAUUAGUGUUAUAAUCACUAAUUAUUUAUAUACAUAUGUUUCAUAUGUAAUUAGGAUCAUUGUGUGUGUCUAAGUCUUCACUUGACACCAAGCACUUGUCUGAUCCUUCCGUACGAUAACAGCCCGUUCAAUUCCAGUCACAUACUGCAGGUGAGUUCAUACCCCUUAACUGUGACAACCCGAAAUUUUCCAUUCAAAUCAAACCACAUCAAUCCAAUGGAAGUAGAGCAGUUUCAGUGAAAAUUCAAACUUUUGGAAUAAGUUUGGCAGUUUUAGGGUUUUACACCUAAGGAGUUAUUAGGAGAGUGGGUGCACUAGGAUUUUGUGCAACACUGUAAUUCCAUUACUCUAGGUCAUUAGAAUCCAUUCCGAGAAUAGAAAUAUUUUCUGCCAAAAAUCUCUGGACUAUAAAUAGAAUUCUGAACCAAAUUGGUUCAUUAUUUGAUUUCCAACUAGAGAAAAUCCAUUUUCUCUCUCACGGAUCUUCGGGUUUUCAUCCCAGAUUGUGAGUCUACCUCCCUAAAUGUGUUUUAAUGCUUGUUAUAUGCUUUAUAACAUUGUUUACAUGUUUAAAAUACAAGAUCCGGGAGCUUACGGCCCAAGAACAUUCUUGGGGUGUAAACUCCAAAACGAAGCCUAAAGGCUUCCUAGUCCCGAUUCCUUGUUAGACAACUAGUUUAGGACUUAUUGUAGGAUCUUUUGAGGCUAGAAAUCAUCCAAGAUCAUAAGGCUUUUGGAGUUUACGGCCCAAGAGUUUCUUGGACCGUAAACACCAUUUCCAAGGGCCAAAGUGUGCCCUAAAUGACCCCUAAGGCUUAAGGCAUUUAUCCCUCUAAUGCUUGUAGCUAAUUUGGACACCAAAACACUUCAAAAUCAUAAAGUUCUAGGAGUUUACGGCCAAGAAAAGCUCUUGGGCUGUAAACCCCUUUUUCAAGGGUUAAAAGUGCCCUAAACACCCUUAAAGCCUUAAGACAAUUAACCUUGGAUACUUGUAACUUGAAUGAGGAGAAAAUGACAUCAAAAUCAUCCCUUAAAAGAAGUUUACAGCCAAGGAACUGUUGGGUUUUGAGCAAUCUAAUACUUCCUAAGUGNNNNNNNNNNNNNNNNNNNNNNNNNNNNNNNNNNNNNNNNNNNNNNNNNNNNNNNNNNNNNNNNNNNNNNNNNNNNNNNNNNNNNNNNNNNNNNNNNNNNAAGUUGACUUUGACCGUUGAAUUUGACCAAGAUUGACCAGGGUUGACUUUUGAAUUAUUAUGGUCUAAAUGUUGUUUUGGGUAUUGAUAGUUCGGGAAGCUGAAGGGUCAGCGGUUCAGAAGUGUCGGGGGNNNNNNNNNNNGAAGUGUCGGUUGGCAGUCAUAAGUGUUCAGCGAGUCUUCAGCAGUGCGAGGUGAGUCUGCUCAAUGUGCGCAUGGGUCUACGGCCACAAUGCCGACCCAUUAUGUUUAUGUUUACUUUAUGUUUAUGUAUAAAAGGAAGACCUGGGGGUAAGCCCUAGGCAUUAUUGAUAUAUGUUCUGGGUUACGACCUGAUGUCGGGCGAGGCCCAAGGAAUGUUAGGAUGCUAGAGGUCUUUGUGAUUCUUGUAUGUGUCGGUAUGAUAGGUUCCAGAUCGAGGGUCCGAUGUCGGGGUAAGCCCGAAGUAUGUUAGAUAAUAGUAUGUCUCCGGACCGGGGGUCCGACACCGGGGUAAUCUCGAGGAAGAUUCUUAUGUAGUAUGUUAGAUUAUACUUGUUGUCUUCGUGAUACUUGUAUGUGCCUGGUAGGGAGAUGAGUGUGGGCGAGGUCCCAUAUCUCACCACUAGCUGAGUAUGGAUGGGGUUCCAUAUCUAGAUAUUAGCUGAGUAGGGGCGAGGCCCGUGAUAGGAAGGAUGUGAGUGUGGGCGGGGGCCCGUAUCUCACUACUAGUAUGAGUAUGGACGGGGUUCCACUACUUCAGUAGCAGAUCAGGGGCAGGGUCCAAGUCAGGCGAGGCCUUAGUUCAGCGUACAGUUAGACUAUGUUUUGUAUGCUCUAGUAUGUUAUUUGAUCGUAUGUAUGUGUAUGGCGUUCGAGGCCCAGAGACAGGCGAGGCCUAUGAGAAACAAAACUGUUUACCGAGCGGGGCUUGAAGAUAGGCGGUAAAAAGACCGACGAAAACGGACGUCGGAUGAAAAAGAUACAAUGUAACACCAAGUAACUUAUUAAUUCAUACCAUAUUAANCGAGGCCUUAGUUCAGCGUACUUAGACUAUGUUUUGUAUGAUCUAGUAUGUUAUUUGAUCGUAUGUAUGUGUAUGGCGUGCGAGGCCUAGAGACAGGCGAGGCCUAUGAGAAACAAAACUGUUUACCGAGCGGGGCUUGAAGAUAGGCGGUAAAAAGACCGACGAAAACGGACGUCGGAUGAAAAAGAUACAAUGUAACACNUAUAAUGUACAGAACACGCUUGUAUUAAAAUUAUAUAUUUAAUGCAAUGGAUGAUGUUGUUUGCUUAUUUACAUUUACUGUGUUGUGAUACUUUACAUGACGUCCUCCGCCCCAGAACGUUUCCGCCGUUCUUGGUUUUGGGGUGUGACAUGAGCUUUUGUCAAACUAGAGGUAUUGUGCUACAGACUGAAUUUUAGCUUAUGAUUGGUUUAGGUGAGUUAUAUAGCUGAUACAUUAGGACUUCGAGUAGUUAGAUUCUGCUCUUUGAUUCAGGUUAGUUUUAUGACUAUACUAUAUAGGACACAAAGGGUUGAUGUAUGAUUGUUUGUCUUUGUAACUGCAUGAAAGACUUUUGUAGUACCAUAGAUAUUGUAUGAAAGACUAUGGUGGUACCAUAUCAAUUGCAUGUAAGACUAUGGUGGUACCAUAACAUUUACAUGAAAGACUAUAUUGGAUCGUAGCAGGAAUCAUAUAUUGGUACUAUUGCAAUGAAAGUGAGCAUAAGACUAUGGUGGUAUUAUAGUGUAACACCCAGUUCCAGGAUGUAUCUUUAUUUAGGAUAACAGACUUCGAUUGGAUCAGGGGAAGUCUCGGGUGGCUAGAGUGGGUGUUUGGAUCCUAAAGGAAUAAGGUUUAUCAGGCUUAGAGGUUGAACCUUGGUCUAAAAUACAAUUUGGUCUUAAUCAUGUUUUAGGACAUGCUGGUCCAGGCCAUAUGUGGAACGACAUGCAAGGUACCGCAGUGCGGUUUCUGUUGUAGCCCAAGUCCAUGUUUCAAAGACUUUUCCCGUACUUACAAGCUUAAACUAUGAAGUUGUGUGAUUUUUGGUAGCCUUUAUCUCGCCAAGGUCCCUUUAGGAACCAACCCUAGUCUCCUUAAGUCUUUUUCUUCACCUUCCUUAUGUUCUUCGUGAUUUUUGAGCAAUAGAAGGAAGAAGCAACCACUUGGAGCUUGUUUGCCAUACCCCUGCUGGCGAUGAAAACGUUGGCCUGUGUGACUUAUUCAUGGAUCACAAUUAAUGAACAUACAAUGAAUAGUACAAAAAUAACAAUAUAAAAACAAGCUUCUAAUAAAUAUGGAACUAGAAGUUACAUUGUCUGAUGUACAACAUGAUAAUGCAAAAUACGGUACGUGCCCUAGCAGUUGGGCAUUUAUGUAAAACGAAGUACGGAACAGUGAUUUAUAAACAAUUCUUUGAUUAUUCUUAGGGGUGACACUCUAGCUUCUUAUGUUCCUGAGAAUACAUGUGUUUUUACGAUACGUCAACAUAGAGUUAGUGAGCUCAUAGGUUUUAAAUCUAUGUACUUUUAUAACAAAACUAUUCUUAUAAAGUAUAUAUAGUUGCUUUACUAACUUAUACAAACAAAUACUUUUUAUAACUGAAACUUAUAUAUAAAAUAUACAAACAUUUUUUUACUUAUAUAAAAUAAUACUUUUUCUAAUCCAAAAAGUAUAAGAUAUGGUGUAUAAGUUAUUGGCCUUGAUCUGAAAGGAUUAAAUGGUUAAUGGAAAAUUGGAAUCUGACUGAAAAUCAUGACCCCACCUAGGAUAGAUUGCGACAUGAUCACUAAAUUUUUUUGAGACUAUUUUAUCGGUUAGUGGUCACGGCACGACCGAUGGUUGGUCACGGAGUGAUGAAUGUUGGUCGUUGACUUUGUUGGAUUAGGUGUCUAAGUCCAUAACUAUAAUUGGUAUGUACUUGACCCGAUAGUAGUAGGGUCCAUUUUGGGUUGCCUUCCCCAAAACAAUUUGAUAGAUGGGUAUUUGAGUAAGAGGUUAUUAUGAUUUAUUAAUAUAUUAUAAGUAUAAUAUAUUAAUUGAGAAAUCAUAUUAUUUAAUUAGUAUUGAUCAACGAUUAAUUUAGUGAUCAAAAGAGACUAAUUAAAUGGAUUCAUAUAGAUUGGGCUAAUGAUCCAUGAUUGAUUUGUGAUGGGUUAAGCUUAUGGAUUAGUUCAUGAAGUAUUGGCCUAAAUCAUAUGCAUGGAUAAUACGCUUAUGUGGAUUAGGGUUAGACAUGACUCUUGGAUUUUUACACAUAUAAAUAUAAUGUCUUAAGCCCUAAAAUCGACUACUACUUGCAUUCCAAGAAGAGAAUUUGAUUUUACAGUCUCCUUAGCCUCUCU
rnacentral:lncRNA from 1 species